GAUGAAUCAAAGAAGGUAAUAAUCCUGUAGUCGAAAAUGUUGUCUCUCUUGAGUGGAUCCUGAGUACGACGGAGCACGUGAAAUUCCGUCGGAAUCUGGGAGGACCAUCUCCUAAGGCUAAAUACUCUCUAGUGACCGAUAGUGAACCAGUACCGUGAGGGAAAGGUGAAAAGCACCCCGGAAGGGGAGUGAAAUAGAACCUGAAACCGUGUGCUUACAAGUAGUCAGAGCCCGUUAAUGGGUGAUGGCGUGCCUUUUGUAGAAUGAACCGGCGAGUUACGAUUUGAUGCAAGGUUAAGCAGUAAAUGUGGAGCCGUAGCGAAAGCGAGUCUGAAUAGGGCGUUUAGUAUUUGGUCGUAGACCCGAAACCAGGUGAUCUACCCUUGGUCAGGUUGAAGUUCAGGUAACACUGAAUGGAGGACCGAACCGACUUACGUUGAAAAGUGAGCGGAUGAACUGAGGGUAGCGGA
rnacentral:rRNA from 1 species